GACGAACGCUGGCGGCGUGCUUAACACAUGCAAGUCGAACGGAAAGGCCCUGCUUUUGUGGGGUGCUCGAGUGGCGAACGGGUGAGUAACACGUGAGUAACCUGCCCUUGACUUUGGGAUAACUUCAGGAAACUGGGGCUAAUACCGGAUAGGAGCUCCUGCUGCAUGGUGGGGGUUGGAAAGUUUCGGCGGUUGGGGAUGGACUCGCGGCUUAUCAGCUUGUUGGUGGGGUAGUGGCUUACCAAGGCUUUGACGGGUAGCCGGCCUGAGAGGGUGACCGGCCACAUGGGGACUGAGAACCGGCCCAGACCCCUACGGGGGGCAGCGGGGGGGAAUAUUGCAAAAUGGGGGGAAGCCUGAUGCAGAAACGCCGGGGGGGGGAUGGCGGCCUUCGGGUUGUAAACCGCUUUCGCCUGUGACGAAGCGUGAGGGAGGGGAAUGGGUAAAGAAGCACCGGCUAACUACGU
rnacentral:rRNA from 1 species